rnacentral:rRNA from 1 species
AUGGAGAAAGGGGACAAAGAUAGUGAUUCCGUCAACAAAGCCAUCGAAGACCUGUACAACGCUGUAUGCAAGCCAUGGACACAGAGAGAAAUGGAUGAGCUUUUCAUUACAACGAACAAGUUUGAUGUCAAUCUAGGCCAUGUCGCCAAAAGUUUCAAGGUCGGUAAAUCAGUACGCACCGAAGCAAUCGAGCCCAUGCUAACAAUCUUGAGAAAACAACUAAAUGGCACAGGGAGAAAGAUUCUGUCAUUAAGCAACACUUUCCUUCUACCAUGUUCGUUGCACGGGUUUGAGCAAGACGAAAAUACAAGUCAUUACUUCACCAUUACAGUUAACAUGCAAAAACAGCGCUUUGAACUCCUUGACUCUUCAACUGCAUAUCCAGGCACAAUAGAAUUCUUCAACAAUGUAACCAGCAAAUUAAUGAAAAUAUGGAAGCACGUAAGCACAGAGCUACAGCUUUCACAAAGAAGCAUCGACCAUUUCAAAAGGGUCAAACUGCAGGUGCCACUUCAAGGACAAGACACAAUGGACUGCGCAUUCUAUAUGUACAUGAACCUGAAGCACUACUCCAAUGAUGGAACAGCAGCAAACUUAGAGCCGGAACAAGUACCAGAGUUGAGGAAAAAAAUUCUAUAUCAACUAAUCAGUCAACACAGAGGGAAUACUAAACUGUCAUUAAUCAAGUGUACAACAGAUAUGCUGAAGUAUGAAGUCGAUAUGGGAGACAAAGAAAUGCAACAGACAGAAUGUUGCGUACUAGAAGAGUUUCCGCCAAAUCCAGAGCCAAAAGAACAUAUUAUGCAUGCGACAACCACAAAAAAGCAUGAAGUUAUUGAUAUAUCCAGUAAACACAAAGAGGUUAUGGAUGUCAGCAGCCACGCCGUCGCCCAAGAAUCUUGCACAGACCACGAAGAAAAGGAUCCACCAAUAGAACCACAUCAACCACCACCAGACGACAAGAUACCACACCAUGCUGAAGAUGGAACGGACGAGCAAAAUAUCAAGAGCAAUAUCCUGAGCACAGAGCAACUAACAGGCACUGAUUUAAAAGAGGAUGUCAGAAGCAACGACGCACCAAAUACACAACAACAGGUUUCUGAGCAGAAGAAACAGCAUGUUCUUCUUCAAGAAGAAACAGGCUCAACAAGCAAUCAGCAAGGCACCUCCAGCACCAUCUCUCUAGAAUUCCUAAAACCCAAAACAAUGGAAAAGCAAGAAGAAUUUCAUGAAUUUCUUUCAAGCCUUAACCCGCUCCAACUAGACGAAUACAACGAGCAUGUAAAGAUGGGCGUUGAAUUGGACGUAAUCAAAACAUGGCUGAAUGACCAUGAAAGCUAUGAAUUCGACAAAGAUGCCAAGCCGUAUCUGACAAUCUUGCAGCAAGAAUCAGGAGAACAUUCAGUGCCUCAAUCAUCUGAGAACAGCUCAGACAAGAAAAUCUCAGUCAAGAAGAGACCGGUAAAGCCUUCAAGAAGGCUCCAUGGAAAAAUCAUGAUUCCUACUUUUGUCCCAGGAGAUUUCAAAUUUAUGAACAAAGCCAUAGCACUUCAUGAAUACCUAUUCAGCAAAGAAGGACAGGACGAAUGCGGAGAUGUAAACGUAUAUAUUAGCUCGAAGCGACCCAAUUGGAUUACAGGAAAACAAAUAAUGGAACAGCUACAGAAAGGAGAUAAUGGACAGAUGGAGGGCUCCAUCGCAAACGCAUUGUUCGAAGAAUGGACAGUGCAGCAACAAUACAACACAACCGAUAAAGCCAUACUUCCCGCAGAAUUUGCAAACAUCGUGCUCGGUGUUAAAAUUGGAGAAAAAGGAGGACUAGCAGAAUUCAAUGAAGACGAAGCAUUGAAACAGUUUGCACCCCUUGUAACAGGGAAGGACUUUUAA